GUGUGUGUUUUGUAUUCCAGAUGCCUUUGUGAACAGUCAGGAGUGGACACUGAGCCGGACAGUCCCAGAACUCAAAGUGGGCAUUGUGGGUAAUCUGGCUAGUGGUAAAUCAGCGUUAGUCCACCGAUACCUGACAGGAACAUACGUGCAGGAGGAGUCUCCUGAAGCUGACGUGGACGCAGGUAACAAUCCUCCAUCUGUACCUCCAGGUCCUCCCGUCCAUCCACCUGUCUGUCCCCCGUCCAUCUAC